rnacentral:misc_RNA from 1 species
GACGGAAGGUGCAAGCGUUACUCGGAAUCACUGGGCGUAAAGCGUCUGUAGGCUUCGUUCCACGUCUGACAUUAAAAUUCGGGGCUCAACCCCGUCCUGUGUUGGAAACGAGAACGAUAGAGUCAUUCAGAGGCAUCUGGAAUGUCGUAUGUAGGGGUAAAAUCCGUAGAUAUACGAUGGAAUGCCAAAAGCGAAGGCAGGAUGCUGGGAAUGUACUGACGCUGAGAGACGAAAGCGUGGGGAGCAAAGGGG